GAUGAAGAACGUAGCGAAAUGCGAUAAGUAGUGUGAAUUGCAGAAUUCAGUGAAUCAUCGAAUCUUUGAACGCACAUUGCGCCCCUUGGUAUUCCAUGGGGCAUGCCUGUUCGAGCGUCAUUUGUACCUUCAAGCUCUGCUUGGUGUUGGGUGUUUGUCUCGCCUCUGCGUGUAGACUCGCCUCAAAACAAUUGGCAGCCGGCGUAUUGAUUUCGGAGCGCAGUACAUCUCGCGCUUUGCACUCAUAACGACGACGUCCAAAAGGACAUUUUUACACUCUUGACCUCGGAUCAGGUAGGGAUACCCGCUGAACUUAAGCAUAUCAAUAAGCGGAGGA
rnacentral:misc_RNA from 1 species